AAGAUACAAGCUAAUGCCUUGCCUCUAUGAUGAUGAAAAUCACAGUUUAUACCCUCACAAUCACAAAAAAGGCACAAGCCAAAGAAAUUCCAGGACCCCUCAUGCCUCUAGCGUCUCUGACUCAGAGAAAGCUCAGAGCUGGCAUGGUCCCCUCACAAUUCUCUCCCAUCGCUUGAGCGUCCACAGAGUCAGAGGCACCACUUAGCUUGCAGAGCAGAAAAAACACAGCCAGCUCUCAGCUGUAUGUGAAGAGAAUCUGGACCUCACAGAGAUGCAUGAUUGGAAAAAGAAAUUUUUAACAGUUUUUUAAGAAAAAUGUGGAUAUUCUUUGAUGCCACACCAGAAUUCAACUUGCUUCUUAAAGAUCUCCUGAAGAAUAAUCCUCUUCUAUAGGAUGCCUGAAACAUAGAUUAUGCUGAUGCCACCACAUCCACUGAAAACCCCACUAUAGACAGUAGUUAAUCAGAAGAAAUAAGUUAAGAUGAUGCAAUUGACAGCCUUACUUGGCUUUGCAAUUAAAAAAAAUCCUAGUAAUGACACUUAUAAGUGGGAAAACCUCACAAUGUUGUAACACGGCAUUUGAUUAGCACCUAGUAAACUAGCUCCAAUCUGUAGCUAGGUGCCCUCAUGAUGGGGUCUAUGAUGUCACAGUAGAGCUGCAGAUGUCACAGAGCUACCGGGCCUGUAUACAAGAGAGUUAAUAAAGGGUGAAAAACAUAUGAAUUCACAAUACAGCAGAUUGUGCUUCAACUCUGCUGCCUGAGGAAUCAAAAAUCUAUAUUUCUACCUUAAUUUCAAGAAUUACAAUGAAAACCCACUAACAAUCUAAGCAAAGUUGUAAAAUUGUCUUGAUUUCUGCAUAUUAAGCUAGGACUCUAAAGAGUCAGUUUCUUUUAAGGAGGGAAAAAAUAGUACUUAAAGUAUGUUUCAGAUACUUUAAACUUGAAAACAGAAAAAUAAUAUCAUAAAUAUAAAUACUUGAAUAAACACAUAAAAUAUUUCACUUAAUUUUUUAAGCUUAUAUUUAAUUGUGCUAAGUUAAUACAACACAAAAUGUAGAGCUAAUCUCAUUUAGGUAUCUUUAGUGUCUUACACUGAGUUCUUUUUUCAAACAGUAAG